AACCCUUCAAGCUCUGCUUGGUGUUGGGCGUUUGUCCGCGAAAUCGUGGACUCGCCCCAAAAACAUUGGCAGCGGUUUGCCAGCCUCUCGCGCAGCACUUUGCGCUCUUGGAGGCUCUGGCGAGCUUGCGUCCAUCAAGAACACUCUUA
rnacentral:misc_RNA from 1 species